rnacentral:rRNA from 1 species
GGCGGCGUGCUUAACACAUGCAAGUCGAACGAAGAGCGAUGGAAGCUUGCUUCUAUCAAUCUUAGUGGCGAACGGGUGAGUAACGCGUAAUCAACCUGCCCUUCAGAGGGGGACAACAGUUGGAAACGACUGCUAAUACCGCAUACGAUCUGACCUCGGCAUCGAGGAUAGAUGAAAGGUGGCCUCUACAUGUAAGCUAUCACUGAAGGAGGGGAUUGCGUCUGAUUAGCUAGUUGGAGGGGUAACGGCCCACCAAGGCGAUGAUCAGUAGCCGGUCUGAGAGGAUGAACGGCCACAUUGGGACUGAGACACGGCCCAGACUCCUACGGGAGGCAGCAGUGGGGAAUCUUCCGCAAUGGACGAAAGUCUGACGGAGCAACGCCGCGUGAGUGAUGACGGCCUUCGGGUUGUAAAGCUCUGUUAGCAUCGAAGAAGCGAAAGUGACGGUAGGUGCAGAGAAAGCGCCGGCUAACUAC